UACGUAGGGAGCAAGCGUUGUCCGGAAUCAUUGGGCGUAAAGCGCGCGUAGGCGGCCCUGUAAGUCCGUUGUGAAAGUCAAAGGCUCAACCUUUGAAAGCCGAUGGAUACUGCAGGGCUAGAGUCCGGAAGAGGCGAGUGGAAUUCCUGGUGUAGCGGUGGAAUGCGCAGAUAUCAGGAGGAACACCAAUAGCGAAGGCAGCUCGCUGGGACGGUACUGACGCUAAGGCGCGAAAGCGUGGGAGCGAAGAGGA
rnacentral:rRNA from 1 species